UUUUUUUUUUGGCAUGUUCGUUCGGUGGAGGAUCUGAGCACAAAAUGCCCGCUCUUCAGGGAGAAAUCGUUAAUUUCUAAAACACAAAUGUGGUCGGUGUCAAAGCCCUCCAUGGUGAAUUGUUAAUGGAGUUGGAGAGAUUUUUAAUCUUAUGAUAGUGCUGCAGCACCCGCUCUUCCAGGCUCUGAUAACCUUUGACAUGCACAAACUACCCAGCUUCCAAACCAGCUUCAUCCUGCACAUCUGACUGGCUGUACUGUAAGCGCUGAGAAAGCUGGCCUUCCAGAAGGCUUGGUUGUAGGACAAAAGAACAUGAUGGUCUCCCAUAAAUAAAGUCUUCGUAACAUCAGAAACAUCGGAAACAUCUGUAUCUGUUCAACAACAGACUCCAUCUUAUUUUAACCUUUUUAUGUCCUCCACUUCACAGUUCUACUAACAUCACCAGCUUAGUGGUCAUGCAGAGGACUGCAAAGAAAUACAGGAAUUUUUGCAAGAUUUAAAGCUCUCAUCGUCCCCAUAAAGAGACUGCACAUCAGCAUCGGUGAACACAAUAGUGAUUAUUAAAAAGGGACAAUUUGUUCACAUCUGGAGGGAAUUUCGUCACUGCCUUCUUUUAGAGUCUGGAGUGGUGGGAAAUGGCUGUACUUGUGUUUUUAUAUGUUUUGUUUAAAACAGACGGCAGGUUUACAUUAGCAGGGAUGGGUGAUAAACAGCUUUAGAAAGGACAGAGAAAC